AGAUUGAACGCUGGCGGUAGGCCUAACACAUGCAAGUCGAGCGCGAAAGUGCCUUCGGGUGCGAGUAGAGCGGCGGACGGGUGCGUAACGCGUAGGAAUCUGCCAGGUAGUGGGGGAUAACUCGGGGAAACUCGAGCUAAUACCGCAUACGCCCCAUGGGGGAAAGCGGGGGACCUUCGGGCCUCGCGCUAUCAGAUGAGCCUGCGUCGGAUUAGCUAGUUGGUAGGGUAAUGGCCUACCAAGGCGACGAUCCGUAGCUGGUCUGAGAGGAUGAUCAGCCACACUGGGACUGAGACACGGCCCAGACUCCUACGGGAGGCAGCAGUGGGGAAUAUUGGACAAUGGGGGCAACCCUGAUCCAGCCAGUACCGCGUGUGUGAAGAAGGCCUUCGGGUUGUAAAGCACUUUCAGUGGGAGGAAAGUUGCCGGCGAACGUACCGGCGACCGUGACGCUACCUGCAGAAGAAGCACGGCAAACGCCGUGUCAGCAGCCGCGGUAAUCUA
rnacentral:rRNA from 1 species